rnacentral:tRNA from 1 species
ACACAACCUUUAUAAUUAACGCGAUGAUAGGAAAUAGUAGCACGUCCCUUCUCCUUGAAGAGAGUCAGUGGCUGGUGAGAACUGACGGGGAAG